rnacentral:ncRNA from 1 species
GAUGUUUAAUUGACUGAACCUUAAGGUUUUAUUCUUGCUUAAAUGUUUACUUUAUCUUUAGAUUAUAUACAAUUUUUGAAUACUAGAUGUUUUAGUUGAUGUAGUAAUUAGAUUUAAUUAAAUUAAGUUAUUUUAGAAUUAGUAAUUGAUUGAGUUUUGACAAAUUUUGUGCCAGCAGUCGCGGUUAUACAAUUAAUGCAAGUAAAUGUUUUUGACUUUACAGGUAAUAAUAUUUUUAGAAUUUUAAUUUAAAUUUGUAAGGUGAAAUUUUUUAUUUAUUUUAUAUUCUUAAUUUUGGUUCUGUGAAAUUUAAUUUUUAAACUAGGAUUAGAUACCCUAUUAUUUUAAUUGUAAAUAAUUUAUGUUUGGAUAUUAAUAGUUAUGAUCUUAAAAUCCAAAGAAUUUGGCGGCAUUUUACUCCAUUCAGAGGAACCUACCCCGUAAUUGAUAUUACACGAUUUGAAUUACUUGAUUUAUUUGUUUGUAUAUCUCCGUUAUCAUGAAAAUCUUUUUAGAGUUAAUAAUUUUCAUAAUUUUUAAUUAAGAAGGAUUUCAGGUCAAGGUGCAGCUAUAAUUAAGAGGAGGCGGGUUACAAUAAUUUAUUAUUUUACGGUAUUAUUGAUGUAAAUUUGAAGUUAAGUUGGAUUUGAUAGUAAUUUGUUUAACAUUAAUCAUUUGAUAUUGGCUCUAAGGUGUGUACAUAUCGCCCGUCACUCUCAUUAUAGAUUUUUAUUUAUUUAUUUAAGGUGAGAUAAGUCGUAACAUAGUAGGUGUACUGGAAAGUGUGCCUAGAAAGGUUA